GAUGAACGCUGGCGGCGUGCCUAAUACUUGCAAGUCGAGCGAACAGACGAGGAGCUUGCUCCUCUGACGUUAGCGGCGGACGGGUAGGUAACACGUGGAUAACCUACCUAUAAGACUGGGAAAACUUCGGGAAACCGGGGCUAAUACCGGUAAAUAUAUUAACCCGCAUGGUUCAAUGGUAAAAGACGGUUUUGCUGUCACUUAUAGUUGGAUCCGCGCCGCAUUAGCUAGUUGGUAAGGUAACGGCUUACCAAGGCAACGAUGCGUAGCCGACCUGAGAGGGUGAUCGGCCACACUGGAACUGAGACACGGUCCAGACUCCUACGGGAGGCAGCAGUAGGGAAUCUUCCGCAAUGGGCGAAAGCCUGACGGAGCAACGCCGCGUGAGUGAUGAAGGUCUUCGGAUCGUAAAACUCUGUUAUUAGGGAAGAACAAAUGUGUAAGUAACUAUGCACGUCUUGACGGUACCUAAUCAGAAAGCCACGGCUAACUACGUG
rnacentral:rRNA from 1 species